rnacentral:rRNA from 1 species
GACGAACGCUGGCGGCGUGCUUAACACAUGCAAGUCGAACGGAAAGGCCCUGCUUUUGUGGGGUGCUCGAGUGGCGAACGGGUGAGUAACACGUGAGUAACCUGCCCUUGACUUUGGGAUAACUUCAGGAAACUGGGGCUAAUACCGGAUAGGAGCUCCUGCUGCAUGGUGGGGGUUGGAAAGUUUCGGCGGUUGGGGAUGGACUCGCGGCUUAUCAGCUUGUUGGUGGGGUAGUGGCUUACCAAGGCUUUGACGGGUAGCCGGCCUGAGAGGGUGACCGGCCACAUUGGGACGGAGAUACGGCCCAGACUCCUACGGGAGGCAGCAGGGGGGAAUAUUGCACAAUGGGCGGAAGCCUGAUGCAGCAACGCCGCGUGCGGGAUGACGGCCUUCGGGUUGUAAACCGCUUUCGCCUGUGACGAAGCGUGAGUGACGGUAAUGGGUAAAGAAGCACCGGCUAACUACGU